UACUUCCCCAUCCAUUAGGCCAAUCAUUGGGAAGCAUCACUCUUCCUAUGUUUAUCUUCAAUUGGCCACAGCAGCAGUGAGGAAUAUGUAUGAGGAGCCCAGCUACUCUAAUUUUGCUGGAUCAGGAAUGGAAGGUGGGGGAAAAUAUAGGAAGAAAGCAGCUCAAAUAGAAGAGCAGAGAAGGGAAAAGCAAGAUUUCUUUUGCAAGGUCAUUCAAUCCUGACUGCUGGUGAAUUCCUGGGAGCAAGCGCCGUUCAUCCCAUGAGAUAUAGAACCGUUCCAUUAACAUUUGCUGGUGCAUCUUCCCUGGAAUAUCUGCCCCUCAAUCACUUUUUCAUCCAAUCCCUUUAUAAAUCA